rnacentral:lncRNA from 1 species
GCAAGGAUGACAAAUCGCUCCUCCCUGUCAUGGCAUGUGCUGUGUAGGUGUGGCAGUUUCUGUGUACACUCCUGCACACACACUCACACCCAAAAGCCCGGUGCCACAUUCCUGGCCCUGGGGGAGGAGCGGGUCUGUCAUGGCCACUGGAGGCUCCCACGCAGGUGAAGCUGAAUCUUAUUACAGGCUCCCAAAAAGAGAGCAGGCCUCUUUCACAGGAUGGAUUCAGCAUGCUGUACUAGGUGAGCUGCUUCGUGUGUGCAUUUCAGGACGCAGCCUGAUUCCUUACUUAUUAGUUGCCCUGAAGAAAAGGAAACAGGAGACUAGCUGUCAACUGAGACAUGGUAGGAAUCGGGCUGUGGCGUCAACAAGAGGCUGACCAACCCUGGUCAAGUGCCAUCUGCUACAGCCCCACCGCUGAGGCAGGAGGUCUCUCUCCCCAGCUAACAGAGCUCCACACGGCCCGUACCUGCCCGUCCAUGUCUUUACCCCAGUGAUGUGCUCAUGCCCCCAAUUCUCUUCAAAGAUACCACACUUCCCUGCAUCCUUACCCUUCAAAUACUGCAGCCUGCUUUAAGGCUGAUCUAGGGGAUUCAAGAAUAGUAAUAAAUCCAAACUUGGACCUCUUCAUUUUGAAGAGGGUUAGGAGGACCCGGUGAGGACAUCCACCUCCCCUGACCAUGUGAUGCUGGACCCACCUGUGAUAAGGUGAUGGGUCUGUCCAUUGUAUCUACACAGGAUUGCUCUUCGCUCAGCUUGAGCUGGUUUGGGGGGAGGUGAUAGUGGGAUCAGAAGAUUUGGGGUAGAAGUUUGUAAAGAUCACCUGUCUAACUUUAAAAGCCAAAGUGACAGUUCUUCCACUUGACCUUGGGUCUCUGCUAUGCCCUGCCAUAGUCUUGUUGGUGCUGGGCACAGACCAUCUGCCAGGUGCAGGUGGUGGCCUCUCUAGCCCUGCCCAGUGGGGUCUGUGUCCUCAGGUGUGUCGCCAGACACUCCUGUGAGUCACCACUUAUUGCUGCCCUGGCAGUCCUGCACUCCGACUUCCAGUGUGGCAGUGCAGACCGAUGUGUCUCACACUGAGACACAUAAGUCAGGACAGGUCGGCACCUCUCACCUCCUCCUGCAGUGGGAAGUGUGAUCUCACAAUGGGAGGUGUGCAAGCAUCCAUGUUGGUUUCAGGGAAGGAAGGGCCAGUGAAGGGCAGGAGAGCAGGACCUAGCUGAUGUUCUGGCUUGGAGCGGAAGGUGAAGGCUGAAAAGACUACAAGAUGUGUGAGCGUGUGAGUGAGCCCCUGCCUCUUUGGGCCCACUGUCUGUGUGGGCAGAGUAGUGUCACACCAUCAGCACGUGAGGCUCGUGGGUGGACAGGAGGAAUUGUGUCCAUCUCCAUGGGAACCCAAGGAGGAAUGAAGAUGCAAUGCUUCUAGAUUCUCUUCCUCGUGUGAGUGACUAUGGAGCACAUCAAUCUAGGCUCAUCUUCAGAUCCCAUCACUUACCAAUCAGGAACCAGACAUGGAGAGCUUUGGAAGCCAAGAACUCACCCAACUCCGCAGAGAGGAAACAGAAGAGAGAUUUGCAUAUGAAAGUCCAAAGUAACAACUAGCCUUCCGCACACCCUCCAGGUGACUCAGCUUCUCCCAAGCCAGGUUUGCUGGAAUUUGAAAAGAAAGGAAUCAGUAGGAAUCAGGUUUAUGCCAUGGUAAGCCUGAACCUAUUGCUUUCAGCUUCUGAAUCCUCAGACCAAAUUCCCCCUGACUGUCAGUCUCAUGCUGCCCAUGACCACAUAGUGUUUUUCUUUAUGCUUCCUCUGACUUCCUUUGGUUGUACUGUGCGGUUCAUGGAACUAUAUAUUGUUUUAUAGUUAUUUUUAAGAUGGAGGGGGAAUAUCUUAUGUAACACAAAAAACUCUGGCUUAAAUUAGAAAGAGAAGCUGAAAAGUUUUAAAAAUUCCUGGAGUGUUAAAAAAAACAAACAGGGGGGCUGGGGAUUUAGCUCAGUGGUUCCACUGCCUACCCCACAAGCGCAAGGACCUGAGUUCGAUCCCUGGUACCAAAAAUAAAAAACCCAAACAAACAGACAGGGUAGGCAUCUUUCUGGAAUGAGUCAGGUAUUAGUUAUCAGGAGACAAGUGCGUGGCAUGACCCCUCUAAAUCCCCUGGUGCAGGGACACUAAAUUGCAGGAGUCAUCACCGCCUUCGUGGUCAUCCCUGACACUAGGACACAAAUGAGGUAGAAACAGGUGACAUUCCACUCCACCUUGCCAUUCUCUCCUGCUGCUCACUGUUACCUGCUAUUUUGAGCGCUGGAUACUAUAAAAUACGAAGGCAUCCAGACAGAGCUGUGGACCGGGUGAGCCUUAGCAUUUCACUCCAUUGCCCUCAUAACGGAGAUGCCUUGGACACGAUGGUCUCCUUGCCUGCCAGCCCAGAAAUGCAUGUUUCAGUAAGUCCAAAAACGUUAGCUAGGAAGCUCAACACCCUGCGAAAGAUCUCACUAUAACCCACUGAAGGAGAUUCAGGUUUUCCAGUGCAACUUCCCACCUACAGAGGAGCUCUGUUAACGUAUGUAUGAGUGUGUGUGUGAUAUGUGUGUGCAUGUGUGUGUGCGUGUGCGCACGCGCGCUUAAGCACAUACUCUGCAUACAUAUAUUCAGAAAGG